AGAUUAAGUUAUUAAGGGCGCACGGUGGAUGCCUUGGCACUAGAAGCCGAUGAAGGACGUUACUAACGACGAUAUGCUUUGGGGAGCUGUAAGUAAGCUUUGAUCCAGAGAUUUCCGAAUGGGGAAACCCAGCAUGAGUUAUGUCAUGUUAUCGAUAUGUGAAUACAUAGCAUAUCAGAAGGCACACCCGGAGAACUGAAACAUCUUAGUACCCGGAGGAAGAGAAAGAAAAUUCGAUUCCCUUAGUAGCGGCGAGCGAAACGGGAAGAGCCCAAACCAACAAGCUUGCUUGUUGGGGUUGUAGGACACUCUAUACGGAGUUACAAAGGACGACAUUAGACGAAUCAUCUGGAAAGAUGAAUCAAAGAAGGUAAUAAUCCUGUAGUCGAAAAUGUUGUCUCUCUUGAGUGGAUCCUGAGUACGACGGAGCACGUGAAAUUCCGUCGGAAUCUGGGAGGACCAUCUCCUAAGGCUAAAUACUCUCUAGUGACCGAUAGUGAACCAGUACCGUGAGGGAAAGGUGAAAAGCACCCCGGAAGGGGAGUGAAAUAGAACCUGAAACCGUGUGCUUACAAGUAGUCAGAGCCCGUUAAUGGGUGAUGGCGUGCCUUUUGUAGAAUGAACCGGCGAGUUACGAUUUGAUGCAAGGUUAAGCAGUAAAUGUGGAGCCGUAGCGAAAGCGAGUCUGAAUAGGGCGUUUAGUAUUUGGUCGUAGACCCGAAACCAGGUGAUCUACCCUUGGUCAGGUUGAAGUUCAGGUAACACUGAAUGGAGGACCGAACCGACUUACGUUGAAAAGUGAGCGGAUGAACUGAGGGUAGCGGAGAAAUUCCAAUCGAACCUGGAGAUAGCUGGUUCUCUCCGAAAUAGCUUUAGGGCUAGCCUCAAGUGAUGAUUAUUGGAGGUAGAGCACUGUUUGGACGAGGGGCCCCUCUCGGGUUACCGAAUUCAGACAAACUCCGAAUGCCAAUUAAUUUAACUUGGGAGUCAGAACAUGGGUGAUAAGGUCCGUGUUCGAAAGGGAAACAGCCCAGACCACCAGCUAAGGUCCCAAAAUAUAUGUUAAGUGGAAAAGGAUGUGGCGUUGCCCAGACAACUAGGAUGUUGGCUUAGAAGCAGCCAUCAUUUAAAGAGUGCGUAAUAGCUCACUAGUCGAGUGACACUGCGCCGAAAAUGUACCGGGGCUAAACAUAUUACCGAAGCUGUGGAUUGUCCUUUGGACAAUGGUAGGAGAGCGUUCUAAGGGCGUUGAAGCAUGAUCGUAAGGACAUGUGGAGCGCUUAGAAGUGAGAAUGCCGGUGUGAGUAGCGAAAGACGGGUGAGAAUCCCGUCCACCGAUUGACUAAGGUUUCCAGAGGAAGGCUCGUCCGCUCUGGGUUAGUCGGGUCCUAAGCUGAGGCCGACAGGCGUAGGCGAUGGAUAACAGGUUGAUAUUCCUGUACCACCUAUAAUCGUUUUAAUCGAUGGGGGGACGCAGUAGGAUAGGCGAAGCGUGCGAUUGGAUUGCACGUCUAAGCAGUAAGGCUGAGUAUUAGGCAAAUCCGGUACUCGUUAAGGCUGAGCUGUGAUGGGGAGAAGACAUUGUGUCUUCGAGUCGUUGAUUUCACACUGCCGAGAAAAGCCUCUAGAUAGAAAAUAGGUGCCCGUACCGCAAACCGACACAGGUAGUCAAGAUGAGAAUUCUAAGGUGAGCGAGCGAACUCUCGUUAAGGAACUCGGCAAAAUGACCCCGUAACUUCGGGAGAAGGGGUGCUCUUUAGGGUUAACGCCCAGAAGAGCCGCAGUGAAUAGGCCCAAGCGACUGUUUAUCAAAAACACAGGUCUCUGCUAAACCGUAAGGUGAUGUAUAGGGGCUGACGCCUGCCCGGUGCUGGAAGGUUAAGAGGAGUGGUUAGCUUCUGCGAAGCUACGAAUCGAAGCCCCAGUAAACGGCGGCCGUAACUAUAACGGUCCUAAGGUAGCGAAAUUCCUUGUCGGGUAAGUUCCGACCCGCACGAAAGGCGUAACGAUUUGGGCACUGUCUCAACGAGAGACUCGGUGAAAUCAUAGUACCUGUGAAGAUGCAGGUUACCCGCGACAGGACGGAAAGACCCCGUGGAGCUUUACUGUAGCCUGAUAUUGAAAUUCGGCACAGCUUGUACAGGAUAGGUAGGAGCCUUUGAAACGUGAGCGCUAGCUUACGUGGAGGCGCUGGUGGGAUACUACCCUAGCUGUGUUGGCUUUCUAACCCGCACCACUUAUCGUGGUGGGAGACAGUGUCAGGCGGGCAGUUUGACUGGGGCGGUCGCCUCCUAAAAGGUAACGGAGGCGCUCAAAGGUUCCCUCAGAAUGGUUGGAAAUCAUUCAUAGAGUGUAAAGGCAUAAGGGAGCUUGACUGCGAGACCUACAAGUCGAGCAGGGUCGAAAGACGGACUUAGUGAUCCGGUGGUUCCGCAUGGAAGGGCCAUCGCUCAACGGAUAAAAGCUACCCCGGGGAUAACAGGCUUAUCUCCCCCAAGAGUUCACAUCGACGGGGAGGUUUGGCACCUCGAUGUCGGCUCAUCGCAUCCUGGGGCUGUAGUCGGUCCCAAGGGUUGGGCUGUUCGCCCAUUAAAGCGGUACGCGAGCUGGGUUCAGAACGUCGUGAGACAGUUCGGUCCCUAUCCGUCGUGGGCGUAGGAAAUUUGAGAGGAGCUGUCCUUAGUACGAGAGGACCGGGAUGGACAUACCUCUGGUGUACCAGUUGUCGUGCCAACGGCAUAGCUGGGUAGCUAUGUGUGGACGGGAUAAGUGCUGAAAGCAUCUAAGCAUGAAGCCCCCCUCAAGAUGAGAUUUCCCAACUUCGGUUAUAAGAUCCCUCAAAGAUGAUGAGGUUAAUAGGUUCGAGGUGGAAGCAUGGUGACAUGUGGAGCUGACGAAUA
rnacentral:rRNA from 1 species